rnacentral:rRNA from 1 species
GACAGAGGUCUCGAGCGUUAGGCGGAAUCACUGGGCUUAAAGCGUGUGUAGGCGGACUUGUAAGUACCUUGUGAAAUCCCCCGGCUCAACCGGGGAACGGCUGGGUAUACUGGCGGUCUUGAGCCAUCCAGGGGCAGUCGGAACAGACGGUGGAGCGGUGAAAUGCGUUGAUAUCCUAAGGAACACCGGUGGCGAAAGCGGCUCACUGGGUCUCUUCUGACGCUGAGGCACGAAAGCUAGGGUAGCGAACGGG